CAAGACAACUUUACGGAGUUGACGAUUGACGGAGCGAAGCGACGUCAAAGCGUUCAUUAAAGUCGAGUUGGCUUAGGGAUACGUUCGUUGGGUAGGGGAGCGUUCUGUAAGCCUGUGAAGGUGUGUCGUGAGGCAUGCUGGAGGUAUCAGAAGUGCGAAUGCUGACAUAAGUAACGAUAAAGCGGGUGAAAAGCCCGCUCGCCGGAAGACCAAGGGUUCCUGUCCAACGUUAAUCGGGGCAGGGUGAGUCGACCCCUAAGGCGAGGCCGAAAGGCGUAGUCGAUGGGAAACGGGUUAAUAUUCCCGUACUUGGUGUUACUGCGAAGGGGGGACGGAGAAGGCUAUGUUGGCCGGGCGACGGUUGUCCCGGUUUAAGCGUGUAGGUGUGUGUUCCAGGUAAAUCCGGUUCACUUUAACACUGAGGCGUGACGACGAGGCACUACGGUGCUGAAGCAACAAAUGCCCUGCUUCCAGGAAAAGCCUCUAAGCAUCAGGUAACACGAAAUCGUACCCCAAACCGACACAGGUGGUCAGGUAGAGAAUACCAAGGCGCUUGAGAGAACUCGGGUGAAGGAACUAGGCAAAAUGGUGCCGUAACUUCGGGAGAAGGCACGCUGACACGUAGGUGAAGUGAUUUACUCAUGGAGCUGAAGUCAGUCGAAGAUACCAGCUGGCUGCAACUGUUUAUUAAAAACACAGCACUGUGCAAACACGAAAGUGGACGUAUACGGUGUGACGCCUGCCCGGUGCCGGAAGGUUAAUUGAUGGGGUCAGCGCAAGCGAAGCUCCUGAUCGAAGCCCCGGUAAACGGCGGCCGUAACUAUAACGGUCCUAAGGUAGCGAAAUUCCUUGUCGGGUAAGUUCCGACCUGCACGAAUGGCGUAAUGAUGGCCAGGCUGUCUCCACCCGAGACUCAGUGAAAUUGAACUCGCUGUGAAGAUGCAGUGUACCCGCGGCAAGACGGAAAGACCCCGUGAACCUUUACUAUAGCUUGACACUGAACAUUGAGCCUUGAUGUGUAGGAUAGGUGGGAGGCUUUGAAGUGUGGACGCCAGUCUGCAUGGAGCCGACCUUGAAAUACCACCCUUUAAUGUUUGAUGUUCUAACGUGGACCCGUAAUCCGGGUUGCGGACAGUGUCUGGUGGGUAGUUUGACUGGGGCGGUCUCCUCCUAAAGAGUAACGGAGGAGCACGAAGGUUGGCUAAUCCUGGUCGGACAUCAGGAGGUUAGUGCAAUGGCAUAAGCCAGCUUGACUGCGAGCGUGACGGCGCGAGCAGGUGCGAAAGCAGGUCAUAGUGAUCCGGUGGUUCUGAAUGGAAGGGCCAUCGCUCAACGGAUAAAAGGUACUCCGGGGAUAACAGGCUGAUACCGCCCAAGAGUUCAUAUCGACGGCGGUGUUUGGCACCUCGAUGUCGGCUCAUCACAUCCUGGGGCUGAAGUAGGUCCCAAGGGUAUGGCUGUUCGCCAUUUAAAGUGGUACGCGAGCUGGGUUUAGAACGUCGUGAGACAGUUCGGUCCCUAUCUGCCGUGGGCGCUGGAGAACUGAGGGGGGCUGCUCCUAGUACGAGAGGACCGGAGUGGACGCAUCACUGGUGUUCGGGUUGUCAUGCCAAUGGCACUGCCCGGUAGCUAAAUGCGGAAGAGAUAAGUGCUGAAAGCAUCUAAGCACGAAACUUGCCCCGA
rnacentral:rRNA from 6 species